AACGAACGCUGGCGGCGUGGAUAAGACAUGCAAGUCGAACGGGGCCUGGCUGCGAUUACAUCAAGGCCUGGUUUAGUGGCGGACGGGUGCGUAACACGUGAGUAAUCUGCCGGAGGGAGGGGGAUAGCCCGUGGAAACGCGGAUUAAUACCCUGUGCGGUUUCAGCUGGCAUCAGCUGGGGACCAAAGGUGCUGUUAAAGGCGCCGCCCUCCGAUGAACUCGCGGCCUAUCAGCUUGUUGGCGGGGUAACGGCCCACCAAGGCGAUGACGGGUAGCCGGUCUGAGAGGAUGACCGGCCACACUGGAACUGAGACACGGUCCAGACACCUGCGGGUGGCAGCAGUCGAGAAUCAUUCACAAUGGGGGAAACCCUGAUGGUGUGACGCCGCGUGGAGGAUGAAGGUCUUCGGAUUGUAAACUCCUGUCAUGAGAGAGUAAAGCCGGGCGAGGAAAUGCGCGCCGGUUUGAGAGUAUCUCAAGAGGAAGAGACGGCUAACUCUGUGCCAGCCGCCGCCGUAAUAC
rnacentral:rRNA from 1 species